GAUGAACGCUAGCGGCAGGCCUAAUACAUGCAAGUCGAACGGGAACCCGAUCACAGCUUGCUUUGGUCUGGUGAGAGUUGCGCAAGGGUGCGUAACGCGUGAGCAACCUACCCUUGUCAGGGGGAUAGCCCGGCGAAAGACGGAUUAAUACCGCAUGACAUCAUUGAGGGGCAUCUUUCGAUGAUCAAGGAUUUAUCGGACAAGGCUGGGCUCGCGUGACAUUAGCUCGUUGGUAAGGUGACGGCUUACCACGGCUGCGAUGUCUAGGGGCUCUGAGAGGAGCAGCCCCCAGACUGGUACUGAGACACGGACCAGACUCAUACGGGAGGCAGCAGUAAGGGAGAUUGAUCAAUGGACGGAAGUCUGAACCAGCCAUGCCGCGUGCAGGAGGACGGCCCUAGGGGUUGUAAACUGCUUUUAUACGGGAACAAACGUCGGUACGGGUACCGGUCUGAGUGUACCGUAAGAAUAAGGAUCGGCUAACUCCGUG
rnacentral:rRNA from 1 species